GUGAUGCAACACAUGUUGUUAAACGCGUAAAAACAGGCUCAAUGGUCAGCUUUCUUUUUUGCAGAAGAGGUUAAAGCAGCAAAAGGAAACAAAGAUUAACCUCUACAUUAAGUAAAACAACCACGCUCAACGAGGUAACGAGCCUGGAGGAGCCCACAGUGCGGCAACGGAACUUCACAAAGAAAGAAAAGCUACGAACUGGUAACAGCAAAAUGAGCCAAGAGAAGAAAUAUCAGAUAACAGGAAUGUUGUAGUCUUUGCUAGAUGGCACUCAAAAAGAAAGAUAAGUAUGCUUUGUGUCAUAGACUACUUCGUUUGAACUGUUGUUGAAUCCUAUCGGACUUUUUGAGGCAAACUGAAUCAGAAUAGCGGACAACGAGACGCAAGAAAGAGAACAGGAAAAUGACUGCAGUACCGAUGGUGUCCAGAAGAGGGCGCCAAAGUACACGGAAAAAGGGCUGGAAGACCGACUGCACAGGCAAAUGAAUGCAAGAAGAGCAAAAUUGGCUCAAGUCACUGCCAAAAUGAACAAGAUAAGUGAGAAAAAUGGGAAAUGUAUUGAUGGGUGAUUCAUGUUGAAACCUGAAGUCUUAUUCUGGAGGGGACCGGAAAUGAAGCGCUUCUGACUACGCAACUCAGUGUGAAGCUUUGCUGUAAUUCCUGGCAGACAGCCUGUGAUCCGCCCCAAACUCCACCUUGUUUCUUGGACAGCUCCUCUUCAUCCCACCUGGUCUUCAGUCACCUCUGACCCGUGGU